UGUUCUUGGAGCUUCAUUUACCUCCUAAUGGUGAUGCAGGUGGACCAAGGAGUAAGAAGACUCUGGGUUACACCAGGAGAGGUGGAGGCAGAGCACGCCUUGGGAAGCACUUCAGCACCACCAAGAGGGUGAAACGGCAUCAUCCUACACUGAAGAUGGACAGAAUAUAUCCAGUCGCCCAGACCCACACAGCCACCGGUAGAGUGAGCUUUACUGAACCAAACAUACAGAAUGUCCCCAAAGAUUUUGAGGUUUACAUGCCCACAGUGAUAAGUGAAAGCCCACCUUCACAAAAUGCCUUCCAGGUGACUCGUAA